GGUAGCUACAGAGAUACUAAACUCUUUCCAUUGCCUGUACACAGAACUAUACAUUUAAAAACCUGCAAAGAUCAAACAAUUGCUACGUUAGUUAAGUUAGCUGUAGAAAAACCACCACCCCUGAUGUUGAUUUCCUGCUUGAAAAACCAUAAGCUAAUUGCAGCACAAAAGCUGUGUUUUGAGAGGUCCUCCACUUACAGCAGUUACAGCAUUAAAGCACAUCUGAUACAGAACAACUCGCAAAUCUCUUGCAUGUUCUGUGAAGAAGAUAUUCUGCUUCUUGUAUGCAGUUCAUACUGCUGGAUGGGAUGACAUAGCAUGAAGCAGAGCAAGCUCCAUCCUUUAGUGUUAAAAUUUUCAGUUUCAACUACUCCAGAGAGCAUGCAUUCGGGUUAGUUACCAAGAUUCAUGCACAUGGUUCCGGGAUAACUUCUUCUACGCGACUGAGAAUGAAAAAGCAAUGUGAAGAGAGCAACGGCUUUUCUGUGUAUGAAUGGCCUGAGCACAGGAAGCCUUGCAGAUGCAGCUCCACAGCUUGCUGUCCCUGAGUUCCUUUCCUUGGAAACUUUAUGUGCCGCCCUGCAAAAUACAACCCCAUGGUGAGGAACAAGACUGCUUCAAAACAGAGCCAGGGCAGAAAGAGAAGGUGCACACAGAGGAGAGACUAUGGGUCUUCAGGUGCUGAUAAAGAUCUCAAGGGCAACCUAACAAUUAGCACAGUCAGAAUGCUACAACUCAGCUUCUACCACUAAGAUCUGGGCUGGUAGAUUAAACAGAUUUAGUAUAGUUGACUGGAAGAGUACUCAAUAAUUACAAAAAGGAGCUAUGAGUUUUUCUGAGCUCUUUGAAUUUAAAUGCUGAAAAUUUCUCAGACCUGAUGCACAGCAGCAUUCAGCACUAAGCAUAGUUGAUGUCAUCAGUAAUGUGCACCCCCAGAGAUUCGGAUUUGCAAAUCAUUGUACAGGAAACUGAAAUAUUCAGAGUGACUGGCACUUCUGGAAGCAUUUUAGUUUAAACUAAACAAGAUUAAAUUUUUUUUGAUGAAUUAUGUGAAGACUUAAAUAUUCCAUGACUAUACUGGGAGAUGGGAGGUUUUAUAUAGAAGUCUGAUUCACUGGUUUUAUGGCAAAUUUUAAAAGGAUAAAUAAAACAUUUAUGUUCUCAGCCUCCAUACAAGCAUAAAUAUUGAGGAAAGAGAUAAGAGAAUGUACAGACCAGGUUCAACUGCAAAUAAAUACAGCACAAUAACAACGACAGAGUGGCUUUUAUUAUUUUAUGCCUGUAAAGUACAUGCCCGUAUUUUUGCAGCUUAGUAGAAAGAAAUUUUUGUGUUACUAUUCAGUGUAUAGGCAUUUAUAUUAAGUAUACAGACAAGCAGGCUUUCUAAAUGGUAUGCAUUAAUGGGGAAAGUACAGUCUUCCAUAAUUUUCCAUAGUGCAAUCCAGACCACCUAAAAUUGAGUGGCAAUUUGACUUCUGGCACAGAUGGUCUGAAUAGCCCCUUAGAAUUGCCUUCCUCAGUCAUUGAUUGUAGAGCAUCAAUUUUGUCUUCCAACCUAGAGGCCUAAAAUAAUUCUGCUAAAUAAAAUCUAUACUGCACAGACAUCACUAAGAAAAUCCCCUGCCCUGAGGAUAAGAAGGCAGUGCACUUCGAACAUUUUGAUGGUCUGCAUGCUGAUUUUAUAUGAAGCCAUUUCCAGUAUAGCUCCAAUUAUUCUUUAUCAAAUCGGUUAAACUUUACAGAAUUAAAAUAAUCAAUGUAUUUUUUUGCAAGUAUCCUUGUAUCACCAUCACUACAUGCAUACUUGUGGCAGAGUGGAGAUGUAGUUCUACACAUUUUUGAGAUGGGACAUAGUUUUACAUAGGUUGCUCCAGAAGAAAUGCCUCCUAUUUAUUUUCAUGGAAACUACAACACAUACAAAGAGCACA